rnacentral:rRNA from 1 species
CGUUCCCGGGCCUUGUACACACCGCCCGUCACACCAUGGGAGUUGGUUCGACCUUAAGCCGGUGCGCCAACCCGCAAGGGGGUAGCCGACCACGGUCGGGUCAGCGACUGGGGUG